GACAGAGGUGGCAAGCGUUGUCCGGAAUUACUGGGCGUAAAGAGCGCGUAGGUGGCUAGAUAAGUCCGGUGUGAAAUCCUUCGGCUUAACCGGGGAAUGGCAUCGGGGACUGUAUAGCUAGAGGACGGAAGAGGAGAGCGGAAUUCCCGGUGUAGCGGUGAAAUGCGCAGAUAUCAGGAGGAACACCGGUGGCGAAGGCGGAUCUCUGGGCCUUACCUGACGCUCAGGCACGAAAGCUAGGGGAGCGAACAGG
rnacentral:rRNA from 1 species